rnacentral:rRNA from 1 species
AGGAUGAACGCUGGCGGCGUGCCUAACACAUGCAAGUCGAACGUCCUGUCUCGCAAGAGGCAGGGAGUGGCGGACGGGUGAGUACCACGUGGGUCAUCUACCGUGAGGUGAGGAAUACCGGCGAGAAAUCGCCGACAAGACCGCAUAGGCUCGAUGCAAGUCGAGCAAAGCUCUUUCGAGAGAGGGAGCGCCACACGAGGAGCCUGCGCCCGAUUAGCUAGCUGGUGGAGUAACGGUUCACCAGGGCGACGAUCGGUAGCUGGUCUGAGAGGACGAUCAGCCACACUGGGAUUGAGAACGGCCCAGACUCCUACGGGGGCAGCAGUGAGGAAUUUUCGUCAAUGGGGGCAACCCUGAACGAGCAACGCCGCGUGCAGGAAGAAGGUUUUCGGAUCGUAAACUGCUUUUCUCGGGGAAGAGGAACGGACGGUACCCGAGGAAUCGAGCCCCGGCUAACUACGUGCCAGCAGCCGCGGU